rnacentral:rRNA from 1 species
AUUGAACGCUGGCGGCAUGCCUUACACAUGCAAGUCGAACGGCAGCGGGGGAGAAGCUUGCUUUUCCUGCCGGCGAGUGGCGAACGGGUGAGUAAUACAUCGGAACGUGCCCUGUAGUGGGGGAUAACUAGUCGAAAGAUUAGCUAAUACCGCAUACGACCUGAGGGUGAAAGUGGGGGACCGCAAGGCCUCAUGCUAUAGGAGCGGCCGAUGUGUGAUUAGCUAGUUGGUGGGGUAAAGGCCUACCAAGGCGACGAUCAGUAGCUGGUCUGGGAGGACGAUCAGCCACACUGGGACUGAGACACGGCCCAGACUCCUACGGGAGGAAGCAGUGGGGAAUUUUGGACAAUGGGCGAAAGCCUGAUCCAGCAAUGCCGCGUGUGUGAAGAAGGCCUUCGGGUUGUAAAGCACUUUUGUCCGGAAAGAAAUGGCUCUGGUUAAUACCUGGGGUCGAUGACGGUACCGGAAGAAUAAGGACCGGCUAACUACGUGCCAGCCGCCGCAGUAA